rnacentral:snoRNA from 1 species
UCCCAGCACCGGAGGGUGAGCAAGUCCUGCAUGGUUUUCCAAGUGAGCCGGAUGAGAAGCUCGUAGAGGCCAUGGGAUCUCCAAAGGACCGUCUGC